GGAAAAUCUCGUAAGGGUGUAUGGUGGAUGCCUUGACUCAAGAAGACGAUGAAGGACGUAGCAGCCUGCGAUAAGCCUCGGUAAGGUGGCAAGCAACCUUUGACCCGAGGAUUUCCGAAUGGGGAAACCUAUCCUGUUGAAGACAGGAUGUCCGCUCGCUGAACACAUAGGCGAGUGAGACGAUAACCCGGUGAACUGAAACAUCUUAGUAGCCGGAGGAAAAGAGAACAAUUUGAUCUUUUAUCAAGAUUGGUGACCUUUCACCGAUGUUGAUAAGAGAUUGCGAUUCCCCGAGUAGUGGCGAGCGAAAGGGGAGCAGCCCAAACCAUUAAAACCACGUAUAUGUUUUUCACUUUUGUGAGACGCGUAUGCUGAAGGAAUUAGGUCCAUAUGUUUUAGCGGUGUAGCAAGAUGGUCGUGCUUACUACCUAAUGCGGUAAGGUAACGACAGAUUUUAUUAGUUGAAUUGAGCUGGAAAGCUCGGCCAGAGACGGUGAUAGCCCGGUAAGCGAAAAUAAUUUCUGCGUUAUGAUGACAUAUUCUUAAGUAUUGCGAGACUCGUGAAAUCUCGUGAGAAUCCGGGUCGACUAUGACCCAAGGCUAAAUACUUCUUGAGAUCGAUAGUGAACUAGUACCGUGAGGGAAAGGUGAAAAGCAUCCCGGUAAGGGAGAUGAAAUAGUAUCUGAAACCAUAUACUUACAAGCAGUCGGAGCGUGCUUCGCUUUCGCGAAUCACGAGUUAAAAGUAAUAAUGUUAUAAAGUUGUAAAGUAAAUUUUUUAAAAAAACUUUAUAAACUUUUAACUUUUUAACUUUUUAAACUCGCGCCGCGUAAGCGGAGUGCGUGACGGCGUGCCUAUUGAAGAAUGAGCCAACGAGUUUGUUGUAUGCGGCUUGAUUAAUUCGCUUAAAGCGAAGAAGUCACAGUGAAAGCGAGGGUUAAUAGCCCGUACUCUUACUUAUUAGAAACGAUAACAAGUUAGUUAAAAGUUAUAAAGUUCAUAAAGUUAUAAAGUUGUAUUUUUAAUGCAUACUUUAUAACCUUAUAACUUUUUACUUUAUAAACUUCUGUUGCGUAAGCAACAGCUUGUUGUCUUUCUAAUAUGUAAGAAGGUCGCAUGCACAAGACCCGAAGCCGGGUGAUCUAACCAUGGCCAGGUUGAACCUUGACGAAAGUCAAGGGGAGGACCGAACCCGUGAGUCGUGCAACACUCUGGGAUGAGUUGUGGUUAGCGGAGAAAUUCCAAUCGAACUCGGCAAUAGCUGGUUCUCCUCGAAAUAGCUUUAGGGCUAGCCUCGAGCGCUUAACAUAGGGGGUAGAGCACUGAAUGGAAACGGGCCGCAAGGUACCGUUUUCAACCAAACUCCGAAUACCUAUGCGUGUAGCUCGGGAGUCAGACUAUGGGCGCUAAGGUCCAUUAGUCUAAAGGGAAACAGCCCAGAUCGCCAUCUAAGGUCCCUAAAUAUAAACUAAGUGUAAAAGGUGGUGUCGUGACUGCGACAACUAGGAGGUUGGCUUAGAAGCAGCCAUCCUUUAAAGAUAGCGUAAUAGCUCACUAGUCUAGUCGUCUCGCGCCGAAAAUGUACCGGGGCUAAGUUUAUUACCGAAGAUGCGAACUCAUCACGCAAGUGAUGAUUGGUAGAGGAGCAUUCUAAUACCGCUGAAGUCACGAUGUGAGUCGUGGUGGAGGGAUUAGAAGAGAGAAUGUUGGCAUAAGUAGCAAAAAGGCAGGUGAAAACCCUGCCCACCGAAAAUCUAAGGGUUCCUGGGCAACGCAAAUCGACCCAGGGUGAGUCGGUCCUAAGGCGAGGCUGCUGUAGUGGCAGCGUAGUCGAUGGAUGAGCUGGUUAAUAUUCCAGCACUACUGUAAUUUUCCGAUGGGGGGACAAAGUUUUGAGGUUCAAGCGUUUCUAUGGUAUGAACGUCGCUUGCUAUAAGGACUGAUCUAGGCAAAUCCGGAUCACUAGUCUAAGCAGUCGGCGGGAGAUGAAGCCUUCGGGUGGAAUCAAUUUGAGCGGAGAAAUUUUCAAGAAAAACCUCUAGGGCUAAGGUUACAGUAACCGUACCGCAAACCGACACAGGUAGAUGAGGCGAGGAGCCUCAGGUGUACGAGAGAACCCUCGUUAAGGAACUCGGCAAAACAGCGGUCGUAAGUUAGCAAUAAGACCUGCCCGGAGCAAUCCGGGCCGCAGCGAAAGAUUCCAAGUGACUGUUUAGCAAAAACACAGCUCCCUGCUAACUCGCAAGAGGAUGUAUAGGGGGUGAUGCCUGGCCAGUGUCCGAACGUUAAGAGGAGAGGUCAUUUUCCUUCGGGAAGAGAAGCUUUGAAUUGAAGCGCGGAUGAACGCCGGCCGUAACUAUAACGGUCCUAAGGUUCUGUUGCCUAAGAAAUUAAGCAGCAGAAGGACUAGGACUGUUGUAGAUUGAAUAUGCUGCCUAACUAUGUAAAUAGUUGUCCCUAAAAUUUGGCUAUAUGCUGGAAAAUCUGUGGUUAAAAACCUGUAGUAUCGAGUACUACUUCUUAUAAUAAAAAUUUAAAGUUUUUUUAUGAUAAAAAGUGAAAAUGUAUCUCGUGCAGACAAUCAGCAGGAAAGACUAAGAAGACUAAUGUUAAUUGGUUGGAUAGUUGGAUUCGUUGAUGGUGAAGGAUGUUUUUCUAUUGGCAUUUUUAUGCAACAAGAUAGAGAAGAACAGAAUAGAAUCAGACGAGGCUAUGCAACUGGUUAUCAAGUUUUUCAUGAGUUUUCAGUGACUCAGGGCGAAAAGAGUAAAUCUGCUUUAGAAGAAUUACAAAAUUUUUUUCAAGUAGGCAAAUUAUAUCUUAAUAAACGUCAUGACAAUCAUACAGAAAACUUAUGGAAAUAUGUGGUAAGAAAAAGAAUCGAUUUAAUAAAUGUGAUAAUUCCUUUUUUUAUGGAAAAUAAAUUACGAACUUCAAAAAAUUUAGAUUUUUUAAAGUUUGUGAAAUGUUUAGAAAUAAUUAAUCAAGGUGAGCAUUUAACAAGAGCGGGAGUAAUAAAAAUAGCAGAAAUUGCCGCAACAAUGAAUCGAAGAAAAUCACGAGAUAGUAUAAUUAGAAUCCUCAGAGACUACAUGCCAAAUCCGUCUUAAGACGGAAAGAUAUAGUCCGGACUGUAUAGCGAUAUACAGGUUCUGAAAUAAUCAGGACGCCAUAAUAUAUAUAUUAUGGUAACAACUCAAGCGAAAUUCCUUGUCGGGUAAACAUGUCGGACUCUGUUUUUACAGAGACAUAACUUGCCCGAAAACGCAGUAAUGCGUUCAAGUAAACUGACUCAUAACGGUGAAACUCCUACUUGUAAAAGAGGACAAUACCGUGGGAACCCAUGUAAUAGUGGGACCCGUAACGACUGAAUCGAAAGAUGAGACUUCUGUAAAGAAGUAACACGUCAGCUCUUGUUAAAAAUAGUCAUCCACGGAGAAAUAACUAAAAUAUAUGGAUAUUAACUCAUAUAUAACUGGCUUUGUAGAUGGAGAAGGUUGUUUCUUAGUUUCAUUUUCUCUCCGGAGUAAAAUGAAAUUAGGUAUAGAAGUAAGACCAAGCUUUUCUGUUAGUCAACAUAAGCGCAGUCAAGAUAUUAUCUUUUUCCUCCAACGAUUUUUUCGUUGUGGAGGUGUAAGAUUCUCCAAUAAAGAUCAAAACUAUAAGUAUGAAGUUAGGAAUAUUACUGAAUUAGUAAAAAUAAUUAUUCCUCAUUUUAAGAAGUAUCCCUUAAUGACUGCUAAAAAAGAUGAAUUUGAAAGAUUUGCAAAAAUUUGUGAAUUAAUAUAUUCAAAUCAUCAUCUUUCUAAAGUAGGCUUAGAGGAAAUACUUAUGUUAAGUGAAAAAUUAAAUAUCGAUGGUAAUAAAAAGUAUCGUCGAACUGAUCUCCUAAAGAUGAUAACAAGAUGAAAGUAUAGUCUAAUCAUCAUAGUAAUAUGAUGCUAAUAAUGAAGUUCCGACCUGCACGAAUGGCAUAACAACUUGGAAACUGUCUCAACGAGGGACUCGGCGAAAUUACAAGACCAGUAAAGAUGCUGGUUAACCAUAGUUGGACGAAAAGACCCCGUGAAGCUUUACUAUAGCUUGAUAUUGGGUUAGGGAUAUAUCUGUUCAGAAUAGGUGGGAGCUUCGGCACCAGUGAGAUACCACCCUGAUAUAUUCUUAAUUCUUACUUUGAUCCGUGAAUCCGGAUAGAGGACAGUAUCUGGUGGGUAGUUUGUCUGGGGCGGAUGCCUCCUAAAAGGUAACGGAGGCGUUUACAAAGGUUGGCUAUCUCGGGAUGGAAACCCGAGAGAUAGUGUAAAGGCAUAAGCCAGCUUUACUGCAAGACCCGCAAGUCGCGCAGUUGCGAAAGCAGAACUUAGUGAUCCGACCGUACGAAAUAGAACGGCGGAAGCUCAUCGGAUAAAAGCUACUCCGGGGAUAACAGGCUAGUCACGCCCAAGCGUCCACAGCGACGGCGUGGUUCGGCACCUCGAUGUCGGCUCGUCGCAUCCUGGGGGUGGAGAAGCUCCCAAGGGUUGGGCUGUUCGCCCAUUAAAGCGGCACGCGAGCUGGGUUCAGACCGUUUAGAAGCUAAAUUAAUUUGGCUCUUAAACACUCUGAAUCCAGUGAUAACAGACAUCGAAUUACGGCGGCAAUAUCAAGUAAUUGGUAUUGGUAUAAAAGCUGACUCAUAUCGGUGAAAUCCUUAAGCAUAUUCCAGUUUAACCUGUCAUAUGUUAGGAUAAUACCGAGGGAAGUCACUUAUGUUAAAAUUAACGCAAUCACAAAUAGCUUAUUUAGCAGGAUUUAUUGAUGGCGAUGGUAGUAUAUAUGUGAGAUUAAAACCAAACAGUAGUUAUAGGUAUGGUUUUCAAAUAGCUCCAUAUAUUAUAUUGUUUCAAUCAGCCAAAGAUGAAGCAAAUUUUAAGAAAAUUUGUAGUCUGUUAGGUUGUGGUUAUUUGCGAAAAAGAAAAGAUGGUAUUUUAGAAUAUACUAUAGGUAGACAAGAAGAAAUUUUAGCUUUAAUUGAAAAGAUUAAACCGCAUUUGAUUUUAAAAAAUCGUCAAGCGAAUUUAAUAGAAAAAAUAUUAAAGAAUAAAGUUUUAGUAAAAAAUAAAGCUGACUUUAUUAAGUUGAUGAAUUUAGUUAAUAAGUUUGCCGAAUUGAAUUAUUCUAAAAAACGUAUCAAACAUAAGUUGACCCCUUAGAGACUUGUUUCGAAAGAAACAGAGCGUUGAAAAUAACGCUAAAACGUCGGCCUCCUACAAGCGUUGUAGGAUGAUGGUAUAGUCCAAUGCACUUAGUAAUAAGUGAGAGAGCAUGCGUAAGACAGGUCGGUCUCCUCUCCACUAUGGUCGCGGAAAUUUGAGAAGGCUCUUCCCUAGUACGAGAGGACCGGGAAGAACGAAGCUCUAGUGUGCCAGUUGUCCUACCAAGGGCAUUGCUGGGUAGCUACCUUCGGUUAAGAUAAACGCUGAAAGCAUCUAAGCGUGAAGCUGUCUUCAAGAUUAGAUUUCAUAGGUUGGUCAGAGAAUAUGACCUUGAUAGGCUCUAGGUGUAAGCCCAGCAAUGGGUUAAGCCAAGGAGUACUAAUAAACCAUCAGAUUUUCCCA
rnacentral:rRNA from 1 species